AGAGUCUGUCAGAGAUGAUUAUUUUAAAGUGGAAAUACUCUGGAGAGCCCUUCCGAUGGCACCCUUUGACUCUCACGCCCACGCGUACACUCUCCGGACUGGGUUCUGACUGGGAAACCUGUCCCAUUGUCGGAGAAAGGUAGCCCGUCCGUCCAUCCGUGAGAACACUGGCACGGGACUGUAAAUGUGAGUAUGGGGCUCAUGUAGUCAAUUAGUGGGAGCUUUUGUUAGCUUAAUCCCUAUUAGGCGUAAUGGGAGAUACACUGUGCAUGCACUACAGAUAGACGCACAUAUAGUAUAGUAUACUGUCUGUGGUGUUAUGAGGGGUAGUCUAAUGGUCGAAUUGUUGAAUAACCGCGCCUUUGCCAGUACUUACUCGUACGUUUAGCCGCAAAGAUGUGGAUAUUCGGGUAGCAGCAGCAGUCGGAGACAGGGCAGGAGAAGAGAAAUGGCCCUGGAAGGCAGAUGAUGCGUAGCGGAGAGUCGAACGGGAGCGACGAGCGACAAAUGUGCACUGACAGCCUGAGAGAAUGAGAAACUGAGAAACUCUGAAACUGCGAAACUGUUGGCGCAUGCAGAAAAGACUGUCCCCAAGCCUCUGGUCGUUAAGCAGCCUCCAGCCGUCAGCUCCGUCCGUGCCGUGGCUGGAACUGGAACUGGAUAGCUUAUAUCUGGAAGAUAAUUCCAAACAAGAGCAGGCGGACACGAGGAACUACAAACAUCCGCACAUGCGGCCCAUCCGCAUAAUCAAGCAGUGCCGCACCACGAAAUACCCAGCACUCAGCCCAGUCCAGAGCUCAGACCCAAUGGUGGCGUGGGAUGCAGCUUCAGGCCAUGGGCAGUGCUCCUGACCGAAGACACAUGGCAUCGUUACCGCGGGGAACUCCUCGUAUUACUCGUAUACUCGUAUGGUGUGUUAGGCCGAAACACGGACCGCGUCUCGUUUAGGAUUUAUUUAAUUUAUUUUAUACACUCGCCUCCUUUCUAUUUAUGUGGCGGCAAGUUUGACAUGAGCCAAUACUCGUCUCUGUCCCCUCCGUGGAGGCUGAAGUUCCAGCGCGGAGGAUAUAGCGGGGCUCCAAUGAUGAUGGCUCUUCAUCGUCCUUUAUUCAUUGCUUCUUGUGCAGCGUCGACAAAAACUUUCACAGCCUGUGGAUUUGAUGUUCCAGAAGUAGUUUAGCUGCGGAAGGCCCCGAUACUUGUGAUUGGGGA